rnacentral:rRNA from 1 species
GAGUUUGAUCGUGGCUCAGAUUGAACGCUGGCGGCAUGCCUUACGCAUGCAAGUCGAACGGCAGCACGGGAGCUUGCUCCUGGUGGCGAGUGGCGAACGGGUGAGUAAUGCAUCGGAACGUAUCCUGGAGUGGGGGAUAACGUAGCGAAAGUUACGCUAAUACCGCAUAUUCUGUGAGCAGGAAAGCGGGGGACCUUCGGGCCUCGCGCUCUUGGAGCGGCCGAUGUCGGAUUAGCUAGUUGGUGAGGUAAAGGCUCACCAAGGCGACGAUCCGUAGCAGGUCUGAGAGGAUGAUCUGCCACACUGGAACUGAGACACGGUCCAGACUCCUACGGGAGGCAGCAGUGGGAAUUUUGGACAAUGGGGGCAACCCUGAUCCAGCCAUGCCGCGUGAGUG